AUCUGAGAUGGACUUAGUACAUCCUAUUCAGGGUUGGGAGAGGUGGGGAGGGAAGUAGCAAUUCUCUGGUUAACUUAGGCUUCAGGAAACCAUCAGAAGCCCCUAGUUGGCUUGAGUGAGAAGCUAAACUUAUUUCUGUUCUGUACAUAUACACAUGGAAGAUCAAUAAAAAUGCAAUCUUUCAUCAUGUAGGUCAGGAACCUUUCACUUUGUCCACACAGCAUCAAGACAGAUUUUGUUUUCCCAGGAGCUGGAAUCCAUUGAAAAUUCAGACAUCACUUGUGAAAGUACCUUUCUUUCUAUGGUGUUUACCACUCCAACAUGUGAAGGAGAUUGCAACUUAGUGAUUUUGUCUGCUUCUGGUGUGGUCACUGAGUUUUCUAACCUGUACUUGGGAAAGUUGAAUGACGGUAAGUGCUGUAACUUGCCUUGUCUGCAGAUGUAUGUUUUUAAAAGAGGUUUUAACUUUGCAGCAUUGCAUAAGCAAUGGUUGCUAAGUUUGUCAGUAUGCAUUGACAUGUCAAUAUUUGGAUAGAAACACCAUGUUGGAUCAUUAAAGCAGCAUGUUAGCUUGCUUGUAUUUAUUUAAUUGUAAACAAGUACACUUAGUCAGGGCUCGAAAUUAACUUUUUCGUCCAGGAGCCAGCUGGCGAAUAACGGAGAAAUUUUGGUCACCAGAUCGUAAAGUUUGGUCACCAACUUUUUUUAUAUAUAACUUACACAAGAACACGAUUUUAUACGUUACUUUGCAUGCAA